rnacentral:rRNA from 2 species
CUGGGAAACCCGGAGAUAAUACCGGAUAAUUCCUUAUACUCCCUGGUGGGAAAAGCGAAGGAUGGUUUGGCCUUUCACUAUCGGAGCGGCCGAUGUCCCAUUAGUUAGUUGGUGGGGUAAGGGCUCACCAAGCCAACGAUCGGUAGCUGCCCUGAGAGGGGGUUCGGCCACACUGGGACUGAGACACGGCCCAGACUCUUACGGGAGGCACCAGUGGGGAAUUUUCGCCAAUGGGCGAAAUUCUGAUGCAGCAACGCCGCGUGAAGGAUGAAGGCUUUCGGUUUGUAAACUUCUUUUGUCAGGGAAGAAAAGGUUCCGGAGAAUAAGCCGGCACCUUGACGGUACCUGACCAGAAAGCCACGGCUAACUACGUGCCAGCAGCCGCGGUAAUACGUAGGUGGCAAGCGUUAUCCGGAAUUAUUGGGCGUAAAGCGCGCGCAGGCGGUUCCUUAAGUCUGAUGUGAAAGCCCCCGGCUCAACCGGGGAGGGUCAUUGGAAACUGGGGAACUUGAGUGCAGAAGAGGAAAGUGGAAUUCCACGUGUAGCGGUGAAAUGCGUAGAGAUGUGGAGGAACACCAAUGGCGAAGGCGACUCUCUGGUCUGUAACUGACGCUGAUGCGCGAAAGCGUGGGGAGCAAACAGGAUUAGAUACCCUGGUAGUCCACGCCGUAAACGAUGAGUGCUAAGUGUUAGAGGGUUUCCGCCCUUUAAUGCUGAAUAAAACGCGUUAAUCACUCCGCGUGGGGAGUACGGCCGCGAGGCUGAAACUCAAAGGAUUUGACGGGGGCCCGCACAAGCGGUGGAACGUGUGGUUUAUUUCUAAGCCACGCGAAAAACCUUACCACGUCUUGACGUCCUCUGACAACCCUAGAUAUAGGGCUUCUCCCUUGAGAGCAGAAAGACAGGUGCUGCAUGGGUGUCGUCACCUCGUGUCGUGAGAUGUUGGGUUAAGUCCCGCAACGAGCGCAACCCUUGUGAUUAUUUGCUACCAUAAUGUAGUGCACUCUCAGAGGAGACUGCCGGCGAAACGGAGGGAGGGAGGAGAUAAGGUCACAACGCCUCGUGCCUCUUGGGAUGCGCUCUACACACGUUCUACAGUACAUAAAACAGAGGUCCCAGAAGGCGAGGCGAAGCUCAUAUCCCAU